rnacentral:lncRNA from 1 species
CUAAUAAGCAUUACUGCACUCACUCUCCCUAAACUCUCCACCCCCUGCUGCGUUCCACAGUGCAGCUCUCUCUAACAUGCCAGGUCAAUGCUGAGAAGGAACUUAAACCACAAAGGACCAAAAAGCAAAUAUUUUUGCCCAGAGCUAAUGUAGCAAAUUACAUGCAAGACCUAAACUCCAAGAACCUUUUAAAUGGCAUGAGCCUACACAAACACGCGGUAUCCGGUUUGCCAAGGGUUGAAAACUAAAUUAAAUUUCAGUCAAGUUCUACUGGCGAUUUAUAGAACAGUUAAAGGACCAGGGAUCUGGUCUUGGCAGGGCCGCUGAUGUACAUGGUCUUCCAGACAAAUUGAAUUAGAGAAAACAAAGUCCUGGCCAGACCUCUAUGCCCUAUGCCAAGGAACUGGAACUUGUCGAGCAACUAGGAACUUGAACUUCACCCUACAUACAAUACUAAAGAAGAAAUAUCAUGGCUGUCAAAUGAACAAAGUGUUGCUAAUACACCUCAAGAAAAGAUGUAACCAGAGAAGGAAAAUGUUGUCUAUAAAAAGUGAAAGAUGUGAGUUGUGCUUGGGAACACGACUCAGAGACUGCGUGGCUCUGACACAGGCAUCAGGCGUGUGCAGCUCCCCCGCAGUUUCCCACAGCUUCACCGUCAUCCACUCUCAUGUCCCUUCAGAGUGCUGCCCACUUCCCGCCCAGCAAAGGACUGCAUUACUCAGCACACAGCGACCCCUGACUCAGUCGAUGUGGGAGGAGAUCGUCAUCAAGGCUGAUCUCAUUUCUGUGUUGGCCAAUCAAGGUCUUCCCAGGACUUCAUCAGCAUGAGACCAGCUCCACCUCCACACCUAACACAGCAGGUCUCCUCCAAUUUCCCAAGAAUCCUCUCUGAAGUCUGGCAGACCUUGUAUUCAGCUGUAUAAAUGCUGCCUUCAUCAGCAACCAAGACUUCAUCUUCCCAGGCCCUCUUUGAGCCAGCCCCACCUACACCCAAUCCUGGCUGCUUGAAUUACAAACACACCUAGAGAAGGGCUUGUGACCCCUAGACCUGGCCCACCAGUGGCUUCUGCCAUCCAAAUACAGCUUGGCCCUGACAGGUACUUAGUAACCUGGUAUUUGUCCUUCAUCCACUCCCUGACUCCUUCCCCAGAACAACAGUUAAAGACCUUCUCACCUUGUCUUCAGCCCCAUUCCUGGUUGAAUAAUACCCUUCUCCUCCUUCACCGAAUAGCCAGAGCCCUUCUAGAGUCAACUUUGCUCUGAGGCCCCCUUUAUCUGCAUGCAUCCCUUUCUCCUGCCUCUCCCCCUUCCUUUCCCUUGUCUUAAGACCUAUUCCCCCUCAACAAUCCUCUACAAAUCCUGCCCUGGGUGUUUCCUUCCUCUGCUGAGGUCCUGAAGCACUUCUUAUUGGCAACCUUCAUUUGGCUUUGAAGGUACAUUGCCAAAUAUCCCUUAUCUUUUUUUUUUCCCUUUUCUUCUCUUCAUAUUUUAAAUUGCACAAACAACAGUCUGGCUCAUCUCUUUCUAUGCACAUAUCCUGUCUACCCAACCCAAUUGGGUGUCCUCCAAUGCUUUGUCCUUCCCAUCUGCUCAUCUCCCUCCUAAUGAUUCCCUUGGAGAGGGCUCAUCCACUUGCAGAGCACCAUGGAUACUACACAGAUUCUUGCCACCAAACCUUGUUCAAGCCCCCCUGGCCUUACCGGCCUUUCUCCUUCUCCCAAUUAAUCGAAAUCUGCACUCUUUCCUCAAGGCCACCUCACAUUCCAAUCAAGCCUUCUCCAACAAACACAGAUCCACAACUACCUGUUUCUCCUCUGACUUUCUAUAGAUAUUUUAAUGCUUAUAUAUAGUCUUGUUUUAUUGGACCUCCUUUUGGACCGUAAAUACAGUGAGAGUUUCCUGAGGACAACGACCAAGGCCUCAGCGUUGUGUUUCCCUAACAUGGUGCUAGGUAUUCUGAGGGUGCUUAUUCAUUACGUGCUAUCUAU